CAAUGUUUCAGCUUCCCUAAGGAGCUUUCAUCUUUCAUCAGCUUUCAUGGUGUCCUGAUGAAAGCUCCUUAGGGGAGCUGAAACGUU